UACGUUCCCGGGCCUUGUACACACCGCCCGUCACACCAUGGGAGUGGGUUGCACCAGAAGUAGCUAGUCUAACCUUCGGGAGGACGGUUACCACGGUGUGAUUCAUGACUGGGGUGAAGUCGUAACAAGGUAGCCGUAGGGGAACCUGCGGCUGGAUCACCUCCUUAAUCGACGAC
rnacentral:rRNA from 1 species